rnacentral:rRNA from 1 species
UACGAAGGGGGCUAGCGUUGUUCGGAUUUACUGGGCGUAAAGCGCACGUAGGCGGAUCGUUAAGUCGGGGGUGAAAUCCUGGAGCUCAACUCCAGAACUGCCUUCGAUGCUGGCGAUCUUGAGUCCGGAAGAGGUGAGUGGAACUCCUAGUGUAGAGGUGGAAUUCGUAGAUAUUAGGAAGAACACCAGUGGCGAGGGCGGCUCACUGGUCCGGUACUGACGCUGAGGUGCGAAAGCGUGGGGAGCAAACAGG